AAUGCUGGCCACAGAAAUCUGACCCAUGCUACACAUGGGGAAGUCGUAGGGGUUGGUCGUGAUGAGUGCCACAAUAAGUAUCCCAGGGAUGUGGCCGGUCAUCAUCUGGAAGAAGAUGUGGUAGCCUCUUUCAUCAGAAAGCUGG